CAGUAGCCGCGGUAAUACGUAGGUGGCAAGCGUUGUCCGGAAUUAUUGGGCGUAAAGGGCUCGCAGGCGGUUUCUUAAGUCUGAUGUGAAAGCCCCCGGCUCAACCGGGGAGGGUCAUUGGAAACUGGGAAACUUGAGUGCAGAAGAGGAGAGUGGAAUUCCACGUGUAGCGGUGAAAUGCGUAGAGAUGUGGAGGAACACCAGUGGCGAAGGCGACUCUCUGGUCUGUAACUGACGCUGAGGAGCGAAAGCGUGGGGAGCGAACGGGAUUAGAUACCCCAGUAGUCCCUGUCUCUUAUAC
rnacentral:rRNA from 1 species